CCUACGGGGUGCAGCAGUGGGGAAUAUUGCACAAUGGGGGAAACCCUGAUGCAGCGACGCCGCGUGAGUGAAGAAGUAUUUCGGUAUGUAAAGCUCUAUCAGCAGGGAAGAAAAUGACGGUACCUGAUUAAGAAGCCCCGGCUAACUACGUGCCAGCAGCCGCGGUAAUACGUAGGGGGCAAGCGUUAUCCGGAUUUACUGGGUGUAAAGGGAGCGUAGACGGCAGCACAAGUCUGGAGUGAAAUGCCGGGGCUUAACCUGUGGCCUGCAUUUGAAACUGUAGUUCUUGAGUACUGGAGAGGCAGACGGAAUUCCUAGUGUAGCGGUGAAAUGCGUAGAUAUUAGGAGGAACACCAGUGGCGAAGGCGGUCUGCUGGACAGCAACUGACGCUGAGGCGCGAAAGCGUGGGGAGCAAACAGGAUUAGAUACCCCAGUAGUC
rnacentral:rRNA from 1 species